rnacentral:rRNA from 1 species
UACGAAGGGGGCUAGCGUUGCUCGGAAUCAUUGGGCGUAAAGGGCGCGUAGGCGGGCUGGCAAGUCGGUCGUGAAAUCCUUCGGCUCAACCGAAGAACGUCGGCCGAUACUGCCGUUCUUGAGGGAUGCAGAGGAGAUUGGAAUUCCCGGUGUAGCGGUGAAAUGUGUAGAGAUCGGGAGGAACACCGGUGGCGAAGGCGGGUCUCUGGGCAUCUCCUGACGCUGAGGCGCGAAAGCGUGGGGAGCAAACGGG